UUCUGUGCUCUUGGCAAAUUCAACAAAUUUCUAAUUUAUAAAAAUUUGAAAUUUAUCAUGCGUUUCGUAUUCUGUGCCGAAAAUAAAAAGCUAUUUUCUUUAGAAAUUGUUAAGAAGUCAAAUGCUCUUGACAGUGAUUUCUAUAAAUAAGAUUUUGUUUUUUUGUAACUUUGUCGCAAUGGAAGAUAUUUUUCUUUUGUUAUUACUGUUGAACGAAGAGGAAAAUAUCCAUUUUCGUUGAGCGAGAAUACCUUUGUGCAAAAUUUUCGAUUAUCGCGCGAAAUUUGCUGUCGCCUAAUUGAUGAAUUGGCCCCACACGAUAAUCAAAAAACGUCACUACCUUUAACUGUAAGGGUUCUGGCAGCUCCAAACUUCUUUGGACACGGUUCAUACCAGAAAUGUGAAGGCAACAACGUCAACUUGCCUAUGAAAUAGUGGUCCCUUUCGAGAAGUGUACGGGCUGUAGAAAGCGAACCGAGUUCAACAGAGGAAGAAACUUUUAUAAAAACAGGAUUUUUUAGACAAUUUCGAAUAAAGAGCACCAUAGGAUUGUCGCAUAUUGCUAUUGUUGCUCCGCCAUCAAAUAAUGUUGAACGUCCUAUAGAGCCGUGGCUUUUAACACCAUUAGGAACACCUAAUACCCAUAAAGGUCAAAAAUACAACCAAUUACACGGUUCUGCAAGAAACUGCAUAGAGAGGGCGUUUGGUGUUUUAAAAUCGCGGUUCAGAUGUUUAUUGAAGCACCGAGUUCUACAUUAUUCCUACGAAACUUCAAAUUUGUUUAUUAGUACUUGCGUUAUAUUACAUAAUAUAAUGACGAAAGCAGGCAUUAUGUUGAACGAAAUAGAGGACGAGGUUGAGGAAGACUUUGAUUCUCCAAUUAAAGAUUUUAACUCUUCACAGUACAUGCGCGAAGGUGAAAGAACGCGAUCAAGAUAUGUAUCAACUCUUUAGUUAUUUAUAUUAAUCAAUACGACUUUGGAAAUACGAUUACUUACUUGCAUUAUUUGUUUAUUUAUUUAUCCUUUUUGAUAAAAAAAAAUCAAAUUUUUGUA